AUUGAACGCUGGCGGCAGGCCUAACACAUGCAAGUCGAGCGGAUGAAGGGAGCUUGCUCCUGGAUUCAGCGGCGGACGGGUGAGUAAUGCCUAGGAAUCUGCCUGGUAGUGGGGGAUAACGUCCGGAAACGGGCGCUAAUACCGCAUACGUCCUGCGGGAGCAAGUGGGGGAUCUUCGGACCUCACGCUAUCAGAUGAGCCUAGGUCGGAUUAGCUAGUUGGUGGGGUAAAGGCCUACCAAGGCGACGAUCCGUAACUGGUCUGAGAGGAUGAUCAGUCACACUAGAACUGAGACACGGUCCAGACUCCUACGGGAGGCAGCAGUGGGGAAUAUUGGACAGUGGGCGAAAGCCUGAUCCAGCCAUGCCGCGUGUGUGAAGAAGGUCUUCGGAUUGUAAAGCACUUUAAGUUGGGAGGAAGGGCAGUAAGUUAAUACCUUGCUGUUUUGACGUUACCAACAGAAUAAGCACCGGCUAACUUCGUG
rnacentral:rRNA from 1 species